GGCUGCCUUUUGUAUGAGAUGGCAUCGUUGCAAUCACCCUUCGCUGGCCAGAAGACUAACCUGUAUGCCCUCUGUCGAAAAAUUGGUAACUGUGACUUCGCCCCUAUACCAUCUGAUUGCUACUCAGAUCAGUUCCAAAACCUCGUUGAGUGUUGCAUGACCCCCCGAAGCAACAGCCAGACCCAGCAUAGGAUACGUCCGGAACGUAGCAGCCGAGAUGAUGGCACUCUGUUCUUACAAAGCGAACAACUGCUUCGUAGGAUCGAACACCAGCCUCCAGAAUGACCAAGCCGAGGGUCUAUGAUUCUUUCAAUCAGUGGCGUGGCGUGAAUGAUCGAUUAUCGAUAUCUCGCCAUUUGAAGCUAUGGUAAAAGAAUCGAUUACUAAGGUUUCGCUGCGAACACCCUAAUAAUCGAUCUUUUUUCAUAGGUUUGAGUGGCGUAUCAAUCGAUAGGUAUAUCGCAAAGCACGCCACGCCACUGUUUUCAAUUGCCAUCCUUGUCUAUGAACGGCAUUGUUUUCAAACUAGAUUGAAGGUUUCCUUCCGCGCUGGAAGAAAAUAUUUUUAACCUGAUUUUCUUAGCUCAUGUACCUAAACCGAAAGACUGAUUGUAAUUUUAAUGUGUGUUCAAAUAGAUGUGUCACUGUUUAAACUUAGAGUAGGUAGUACGUAAGAGUAAUAAUUUUUAUUUAAGUAAAUGUGUGCGUUUGUUCGUGAAAAUUAGAGUAAUGAGUGAGACGAUUUAAUACUUUCAAUUUGCGCUUUUCUCGAAACGAAAAAUCACUUCUCGUAAUUAUAGCUCUGGUAAAGUUGCAUUUUCAGUGUGGAUGGUCUAUAUGCAUUAAUUUGAUUAGAUCAUGCAAAUUAAAUUAAAUUUUAUUAAAAAUACUUCGCGAUGGUGGUCUGUCAACUUAAUCUAAGAAUGCAGUCAAUCGCCUAACUUUGCUGAAUUGAAUUUAAGUAGGUUCUUAUUGAACAUAUUAUUUAGUAAUUUCAAAAUGUAUUUAAUGAUAUUUAUUAAUAUUGUAAAUUGAGUAUUUCGUAAGAACCGUGCAAAUUAAUUUGCUCGUUAUAUCUAUGAGUAAAUUCUCAUCUAGGUAUAUACACUAUGACACUAUGAAUUAACUCAACGUUUAGGUACCAAACUAUUAAAAUUUAUAAAAUGUUAUCUCGUAAGUGAUGCUCAUUUUUUUUUUGUUUUUGUUUACCUUCCUUGUGCCUGACAAUUGAUUUGCCAAGAAAAUUGUUUGAAAAAUCCAGAUGAACGCCCGAUAUCAGGGGUAGAAGAUCAACUAAGUAACCUUCAGAAGCCCGAGAC
rnacentral:lncRNA from 1 species